rnacentral:rRNA from 1 species
AUUGAACGCUGGCGGCAGGCCUAACACAUGCAAGUCGAGCGGAGCGGCGGACGGGUGCGUAAUGCCUAGGAAUAGGCCUGGUAGUGGGGGAUAACGUCCGGAAACGGGCGCUAAUACCGCUUACUAUCAGAUGAGCCUAGGUCGGAUUCGCUAGUUGGUGGGGUAAAGGCAUCCCAAGGCGACGAUCCCUAGCUGGUCAGUGAGGAUGACCAGCAACACUGGAACUGAGACACUGUCCAGACUCCUACGGGAGGCAGCAGUGGGGAAUAUUGCACAAUGGGCGCAAGCCUGAUGCAGCCAUGCGGCGUGUAUGAAGCAGGCCUUCGGGUUGUAAAGUACUUUCAGCGGGGAGGCGUUACCCGCAGAAGAAGCACCGGCUAACUCCGUGCCAGCAGCCGCGGUAAUUC